rnacentral:rRNA from 1 species
GCCCUUUUCCGGUUGAUCCUGCCGGAGGCCAUUGCUAUCGGAGUCCGAUUUAGCCAUGCUAGUCGUACGGGUUUAGACCCGUGGCGAAUAGCUCAGUAACACGUGGCCAAACUACCCUGUGGACGAGGAUACUCUCGGGAAACUGAGGCUAAUCCUCGAUACAGCUUCCACGCUGGAAUUGCGGGAAGCUGGAAAAGCUCCGGCGCCACAGGAUGUGGCUGCGGCCGAUUAGGUAGACGGUGGGGUAACGGCCCACCGUGCCAGUAAUCGGUACGGGUGAUGAGAGUCAGAGCCCGGAGACGGUAUCUGAGACAAGAUACCGGGCCCUACGGGGCGCAGCAGGCGCGAAACCUUUACACUGCACGACAGUGCGAUAGGGGGACUCCGAGUGCGAGGGCAUAUAGUCCUCGCUUUUCUGGACCGUAAGGAGGUCCAGGAACAAGUGCUGGGCAAGACCGGUGCCAGCCGCCGCGGUAAUACCGGCAGCACGAGUGAUGGCCGAUCUUAUUGGGCCUAAAGCGUUCGUAGCCGGCCGGACAAGUUCGUUGGGAAAUUCACGUACUCAACACGAGAGCGUCCAGCGAAAACUGUCUGGCUUGGGGCCGGAAGACUCGAGGGGUACGUCCGGGGUAGGAGUGAAAUCCCGUAAUCCUGGACGGACCACCGAUGGC